rnacentral:rRNA from 1 species
GAUGAACGCUGGCGGCGUGCUUAACACAUGCAAGUCGAACGAAGCAUUUUAACUUGAUUUCUUCGGAAUGAUUGUUACUUUGACUGAGUGGCGGACGGGUGAGUAACGCGUGGGUAACCUGCCUCAUACAGGGGGAUAACAGUUAGAAAUGACUGCUAAUACCGCAUAAGCGCACGGUAUCGCAUGAUACAGUGUGAAAAACUCCGGUGGUAUGAGAUGGACCCGCGUCUGAUUAGCUAGGUGGUGAGGUAACGGCCCACCAAGGCGACGAUCAGUAGCCGACCUGAGAGGGUGACCGGCCACAUUGGGACUGAGACACGGCCCAAACUCCUACGGGAGGCAGCAGUGGGGAAUAUUGCACAAUGGGCGAAAGCCUGAUGCAGCGACGCCGCGUGAACGAAGAAGUAUUUCGGUAUGUAAAGUUCUAUCAGCAGGGAAGAUAAUGACGGUACCUGACUAAGAAGCACCGGCUAAAUACGUGCCAGCCGCCGCGGUAAGAC